CAGCCCACGGCUUCGCCGCGCCGCUCCUCAGGCGACCGGGGGGGGCUUGCUGAGGCACCGUAACUUUUAUUUGCCCAUCGCGCCCCGCAGCCGGCUCGCAACCCGAGCCCACGCCGCGGUCGGCACCGGGGGCUGCCCCCGGGGCGCGUUAUUCUCCCCCGCUCCGCCACCCCCGGGCGCAGGGCGGUGCGGCGGGCCCCGGCCUGCGGCAGCCCUCCGGGCCGGCGCCCACGCCCAGGCGCUGCCGUGCGGCAGACAAUGGGGGCCGGCAGCCCCGCGCCCGCCGGGCUGAGGCGGCGGUUACUUACCGAACAAGAUGAUCUCUUACUUGAAGCCAAAAGCUAAGCCACAGAAUUGGCGGUGGUUCUUCAUGCAAUCAGUUGAGUCUUCUAGGUCCACCGGAUCCACCUCCAGAUCCACUGGCUGGCUUUGAAGAAUUGCUAAAGAAAUUAAACCUUCUCACGAGCAACCCAAGCCUGCAAUUCUGAAGUGCUCUGUAGAACAUCCACAAAAGAGGUUUGAUCACAUGACCAUUUGCUCUUAAGAUUUCUUUUCUUUCCUGUGCACACAACAGAACACCUUCCCUCCACCUGUGAAGAAUCGCGUCCUCUUCAAAGCAUCCUGCUGCUCCGAAAACGUGAGUGAAGGGCAGAUGCAGCCACACCACCUGCAAGACCCCUGUUGUUACUCAGAGAAAGGCACUAUUCUACCUUUAAGAAAUUGUCCCAGAUCUGGGGAUUUCCCCACGUACUUUUAGCUAGGACAAACCAGACGAAUUUCCUGACACAUCUCGGACUGCAUUUGCCAACACUCCCCAAACUCUUCCUGUUCUGCCUUCCUAACCGUGCUUCCGUGGCGAUUUACUCCCACCUAAGCCAGCGCUGCUCCAGUCCUGUUUCUGCUCCCUCCUCUUCCUUUGCCGCUGCGCUGGCCGGUGCCCGGUCCGUGGCCUGGGGCAGUGACCAGCAGCAUCCUAGAUGGCCAGCGGAGUGCCCGAGGGCCAGCGCUGCCGUCACAGCGAGCGUGAACUCUCAGAGGACCCGCUUGGUGAGUUGUGCUGUGAGUGCCCUUGCUCAUCAGGCUCUUUGCUGCAGUUUACUUCAAAUAUCAUACAAAACAAGAAUCAAAAGAAUCUUUAUCCAUCCACAGACUCCUUCACAGCCCAUCAAACUGAUGUCAUGCCAUCUUCAUCGGCUUCUGUAACAGCAUCAGCAGGCCAGAUGAGAUCUCUGCACCAGCCUGCAGAAUACAUUUCUGAGACCCUUGGUCUAAUUACAGCCCUGGUGACCGCUGCUGCAUCUGCCUUGCAAUGUUACUGUGUGGUAACACGGACCAGUAGCUGGAGAAAUCCAAAUAGUGCAUGGAGAAAGCAGACCCACAAACAACAACAACAAAAAAACCCCCUUAUCACAACAAGGUACAAAACCAUAGUAAGAUGAAACACUGCAGAGCUCUCUUCAGUCAGCUCUGUUUAUAAAGCCAGACUAACUCCAUCAGCAGGCUCAAAUGACGUGCAGGGUGGGACUGCUGGCUCCUAUCCCCAGUUUACACUGAUGAAUACAUUUAAAUAUA